ACUGGCUUCGCUUCCAUCGACUGCACUGGCAGGGCGGCAGAGAAGACUUUAUGGUAAAUAUGCAGCACCAGCGGGAGCGAUAACGAAGGUAUCGAGUAGAGAAUUUGCGCUUUGUGUUUUCUUCUUCCACCCUCGCUGAGGAAUCAGCGAAGAUUAAUGAACCGCACCAGGAACAAGUCCUCAUCGUUCGUUCCAGGAUCCUCAAAAUCAAGACAAAUGAUUAUGGAAGCUAUGAUCCUUCUCCGUCUCUUUCCAAGCCUCCUUUCAAGCUCAUACCAA